rnacentral:lncRNA from 1 species
CUUUUUAAUGGCUAUAACUUUUCACUCAGUGUAUGAUAAUCAAAUUAUUUCAUCAUUGAGUCAUUGUUUGAGACUCAGUUUAUAUAUGUAAUGAAAUUAUCGUAGUGUGGGAGACAAAAUACCAUUAAUUUAAUUUUAUUAUUGCUAUUAUCACUGUGCUUAUUAAAAUAUUUAAUUUUCUUCCUUCAUAUUAUUGCUUUAAAAUAAAUUUACGACUGUGAUUAUUACACCAAAUAAUAACAUUUUUAAGAAACCUGAAGUAUAUUACCAUAGCCUUCUUUAGAAGAGUAUUAUUAUUCAACUGUCAAAAUAAAUAUAUAUGUAUAUGUUUUCUAUAACUCUCAGAAUUAGGUUUAUCAUUAAUUUAAUUUUCUUUUUUCUUUUGAUGAGGAAUGUUGGUCCUGAGCUGACACCUGUGCCAGUCUUCCUCUGUUUUGUAUGUGGGAUGCUGCCACAGCGUGGCUUGAUGAGGGGUGUUCAGUUUUGUGCCCAGGAUACAAACCCAUGAACUCUGGGCCACCGAAGCGGAGCUCUCGAACUUAUCCACUACACCAGCAGUUGUUGAUAGAAGUUUACAAGGCGUAAGAAGCAACCUUUUGUAAACCUUCCAUACUUACCCUGUGAAAGUAUCCACUUACCAAUUGCUAGAAGGCAGCGCUCUCUAUGGUACCUGAUCUGUCAAAACAAGAAUUCUGCACUACACACUCGUAGAUCCUGACAAAAAUGCUCUGACAUCUCAAUAUGUGCUUCAAGUGUUCAUAGAGAAGGACACGUGAGAACUGAAAAACGAACUCCUGUAACUCUAAAACGUGUGUCUGCACUACCCAGCCACCCUGGCUGCAGCAGAAAGGACAACUGGAUCCAAAAUAAUUCUUUUAUAUGUUCUUGUUUGUGUUCAGAAGUUGUGUGGAACAAACGUAGGAAAUAGACUAGACUCAGUAGCCUGCAAUCUGUGUGAAUAUGAAAUCCCCCUAAAGUGGCAGUUACCCUUAAGUGGACUUCCCUGGGGCUAUCAGUGAUGGAGUAGCUGGCAUUACCUGCUGAGUGAAUAGAGCAGCUGCCACUUGAAAAAUCAAGGGCUGGACCCCUGUAGCUUAAUGACCCUCUCCAUCCAAGUGCUGAGGACGCAGGUCUCCCUUUCUCUCCUUGUUAGACUAUGGUGAAUGAAAUCUUUUUUACAUAAAUGAUUUAGUCCAUCAUUCAUUCUGUUACUUAGCCAAUCAGUUCUUCCCUAAUUAAGCACAUAUAGAGCACCUGCUGUGUACAGGCACUGUGCCAUGGACUAAAGCUACAGAAACAGAGACCUGGCCUCUGUUUUCAUGGCGCCUGUCUUGUGAGGAGACAGACACAUAAUUCUCAAAGCAGGAGCUAAGUUCUACGAUAGCACAAAUUAGGGAGUUAACGAUUCUACCUAAAAUGCUCACUUAGAACAUUCCUCCAAGUUUCAAGAAAGGAGAAGUUUUAGACGGCUGGUGGCUUUGCAUUCACUCACUGCUGUGAAAGUAAAACAGAAAGAAAUACAGUUGAUAAUUGUUCAAAAAUACCUGAGAAGAGUCAACUUGCUUGGUAAAGAUGAGAUGCCAUCCAGUUCAGGCGGCUUGCAGCUCCAGAAUGUGUAAUUUCAUUUUGCCAGAGUUUAAAG